UACGUAGGGUGCGAGCGUUGUCCGGAAUUAUUGGGCGUAAAGGGCUCGUAGGCGGUUUGUCGCGUCUGGUGUGAAAACCUCGGGCUUAACUCGGGGCUUGCUUUCGAUACGGGCAGACUAGAGGUAUUCAGGGGAGAACGGAAUUCCUGGUGUAGCGGUGAAAUGCGCAGAUAUCAGGAGGAACACCGGUGGCGAAGGCGGUUCUCUGGGAAUGACCUGACGCUGAGGAGCGAAAGUGUGGGGAGCGAACAGG
rnacentral:rRNA from 1 species